AAACCUUACCUACCUUUGACAUGUCGAGAAUCCUGCAGAGAUGCGGGAGUGCCUUCGGGAACUCGAACACAGGUGCUGCAUGGCUGUCGUCAGCUCGUGUCGUGAGAUGUUGGGUUAAGUCCCGCAACGAGCGCAACCCUUAUCAUUAGUUGCUACGCAAGGGCACUCUAAUGAGACUGCCGGUGACAAACCGGAGGAAGGUGGGGAUGACGUCAAGUCCUCAUGGCCCUUAUGGGUAGGGCUUCACACGUAAUACAAUGGUCGGUACAGAGGGUAGCCAACCCGCGAGGGGGAGCCAAUCUCAGAAAGCCGAUCGUAGUCCGGAUUGCAGUCUGCAACUCGACUGCAUGAAGUCGGAAUCGCUAGUAAUCGCGGAUCAGCA
rnacentral:rRNA from 1 species